GAAGAUCAUCACAAGUAUGAUGGUAUAGGUUGGGGUGGGGGUGGGGGGGAACAACCCAUGCAAAAAGGCAAGGGCAUGGGGAUAGAGAAUAAGCCAAAACACUUUGUAUUUUAUCUUACAGGCAGUAGGGAGCCAAUGAAGUUUCUUGAGCUGAAGAGUGUCACAGUCAGAUCUAUAAAAGAAAAGAGAGAAGGAUUAUCUCCCCUGCCUGAGCCUUUCAGUUCAAAUCCCAAAGAGGAAGUUAUAUCAUGAGUGAUAAUGUUUAAAGAGUAUUGUAAUUCUUCCCUACCAUCCCAAUGGAAACCUAUUUACAAACUCUCCUAAAAAAGAACCUUUUAUUAAAAAGUCACCAGUUUCCUAACAGAAAAAUUCUCAAAAUGGAGGUGAACAAAACUAGAGUGUCCUCUCCUGCCUUCUCCCCCGAAACAAGUCUUUUUCCUAAAAAGAAAGAUACCCUGCUCAGGUAGCAUUCCAAAAGUCCCAUACCUCUUUUCAGGGCCAGGGUUAUUUUAUGAAUAAUUUAUUUGGGACCAUCUGGCCUUCAUGCCAGAGGUUGGAAUGGUGGGGAGAAUUGAGUGUAACUAAAACAAAUUAGGGAUUUGGGGAACCUCCUAUGGGCUUAAAGAAGGGGCUGAGUGGAACAGGAUGUAUGGUGUUGCUAAGGCACUAAUACAGAAGCCAUGAAGAAGAGGAGGUUUGUUGAGGUUUCCAGUUCUGUGUGUGUGUUUGUGUGUGUGUGUGUGUGUGUGUGUGUGUGUGUGUGUGUGUGUGUGUGUUUUGGGGAUAGGAGGCAGGCAGGAAAUACCAGUUCUGGACUUUUUCAGCUUGGGAAACUCCAUUCCUUUUCUGUGAUUCAUGGAGAGAAUCUAAGAGUGGGAGAAUUAAAAGAGAAGGGGCAGUGGUGGGUGGAGAGGGUGUGAGAGCAUCGAAGGGGUAGGAUGCAAGUCUUGGCUCCUGAUCCCUGUAGACAGCUGCCAGAACAUGAGAACAUCUUAGCAUGGCUGCCACCAAGCAAGGGUUUGAACGUUGGCAGCUGAACCACUAGAACUGUGGCAGAGAGGUCCUCCUUCAGGUAAGCAUUCAUUUAUUAUCUUUGUAGGUGGUACAGUGGAUAGAGCACUGACCCUGGAGUCAGGAAAGCCUGAACUCAAAUCUAGCCCCAGACACUUAAUAGCUGUGUAAACUUGGGUACCAGAUUGCCUCAGUUUCCUCAUCUGUAAAAUAAGGAUGAAAACAGUUCCCAAGAUUGUUGUGAGGAUCAAAUAAGAUAAUAUUUGGAAAACACUUAGCACCAUACAUGGCACAUAGUAGGCACUAUAUUAAUCAUAGCUAUUAUUGUUAUUAUCCACUUAAAUCUCCUUCAUGCACAAGUAUCUUUGUGCACACUCAUCUAUACACCUAUCCUAGAACCAAAUGGAACUUUCCCAGGCAAAAAUCAGGAGUGUUGCAGGUUGCAUAUAGUCCAGAGUGUUUGACCCCUCCCAACUGCCCCAUACCAACCUCCCUGAUUAACCUCUCAGAAUUGGUCAGCAAUUCCAGGAUCCCUCCUAUGAGGCAGAGAAUUCCUCAGAGUGGCUGUCCCAGGCUCCCUCUGACCAACAGUCUUAGAAUCUACUCGAAGGUUCUCCCUAUAUUUACUUCUACUGAUUUUUCCGUUUUCUCGUUUGAGGUCCAGCAAGGCAUUCCUCACUUCUCUUCGCCCCUGAUUCAGUUGGAGGAUUUCUGAGCAGUGAGGAUGCUCUAGGGAUUUUGGAAUAUAACUGAGUCUCUCAGAGGAUUUAAGGAAGGAAAUGACUUUGGGAUAUACAGUCCAAGUCUCUCAAGUGAAAAAACUGAGGUUCCAAGAGGCUAAGUGACUUAUCCAAGGUGUCUGGUUUCCAGGAGCCCUAGGACACAGGAACCAAGGAGACUGCCCAGGUUUGUCCAUAUCUAUCCCUCAAGUUCUGUCUAAGCAACACUGAUGACCAGAGAGGCCUGCAGCCCUAUGUCUGUCCUCUCUUCUAUUUUCUUGCCCUGUUGCCAUUGUAGGAACUCUUUAUGGUGCUCUGUUGGACAGAAGAGGGUAAGGUAGGGAGGGGGCUGAGUCUCUGUGUUCAGUGGUUCAUGUAGGAUAAUGGGGCUGAGAAAGGACCUUGAUUGCACCCCAUCUCAGCAUGCUAAAAAUCCUAUCAGUGGACAGUUUAGCAAAUAGGAUGUAACUUGUAGAAUAGAAUAUGCAUUCAACUAGGAAUAGACAGGCAGAUUGUAGAAUUAUGUAGAAUUCAUAGAAUUAUGAAUCUCAAAGUUAAAAGGGGCCAUAUAAACCUUCAGGUAUGGUCACCCUAGCCCAUAUCCUCUGGAAUACCCAUCACAGCUAGUCUACCUAACAUUCUGAGAGCUUUCUUGUAGCUCUCUUGACGUUGCAUGAAUAAAAGGGAUCGUCAUUUUCAGAGGAAGAAAUGGGUUCAGAGGGGGAUGGUGAUUUUUGAGAUUUCAUACAGGUGAGCAGAGUAUAACUGUUAUUCACACUCAAAUCUUUGGACUCCAGUGUUCUUUGGAGACUUCCUAGUUUUUAUCUGACUAUACCAUUAACAGUCAACUACUUUAUUAGAAUGUAGACCUGGGUACUAGUCCCAUACCUACCAUCCAUUGGCUCUGUAAUCUUGGACAAAUCAAAUAACCUCUUUGAGCUUCAAUUUUCUCAUUUGGAAAAUGGGAAUAAAAUGGACUGCCUGUUCUGUCCUUGUUAUGUUAAGUGAUCUAGAGGAAAGGUCCAAAUACAUUGGGUUGAUCCCCUAUGGAGGAUUUACCAGAGGACAUGGGUAAGAUCAGGGUAGGGUGAAAGAGUAUCUGUACAGAUCUGUUGACUUAUCUAAGAAAACCCCAUCCUAGUUAUUUCAUAGGAGUGUAGAGAAUGUAAAAUGAGAUUAGAAAAAAUGCUUUGUAAACAACAUAGGUUACUAUAUACUCACUGUCUACCUGUGAUAUGGUGUUUGGAUCACCUCAAUUCAGUAAACGUCAUUUAACCUUUGACUCCAGGUAAGGAGUAGAAGGAACUAAGUAAGGAACUACCCUAAGUAUUGAGGAUACAGAGUCCAAAUGGAAAUGGUCUUUGGUCUCAAGAAACUUACAUUCUACUAGAUACCAAUAUUAAUAAUGAUUUUAGAGAAGAGUAAAGAGAGGAAGAUGAUGCUCUGAGGGCUUUUAGCUUCAUACUGUCCCAACAAGUGUCUCAGGGAGCUCUGGAGAAGGAGGGGUUGGCAUCAGUGGGACUCUGCUUUGAGACUCUAAAGUAAUUACAGUUUCUCUGUGGAAGCUAGACUCCUCAAGGGGCCAAAGAUUAAGUGACCUGGAAGGAUUUCCUCCUCUGAGUCUUCCCCACUCAUCUCAGGGAACAAAACAGUCCCCAUCACAGAUCCUCAGCCCUUGGGGUAACUUCUUAUGGAAUGAAUGAAGCCCUGUGCUUUAACAACAUGCUUUGCCAAGUCAGGGUUGUGGGAUGGAUUCAUGGUCUUGCACUGGCAAACAUGGCGCACUGUCCUAGAAUUAACCAUUCUUAGGUCACCUGAGUUCAGGAGAACACAAACCAUGGCUCAGGUCAGGAAGGAAUAAUGGACUUCGGCACUCCCUCCCCAACUAUGCCUGCUUUAUCCAAGACUGUUUCUACCUUUGGUUAUGAAGACUCGAGUUUAAGCUCCCUUAUUCCCUCACUGACCUGGCCUAACCACCUUUGUUUCUUCAGUGAUUGCUAUAUUCCUCAGUAAGUCAAGAGAGGGGGUCAGGGAAGUAGGGCCACAUAUCCAAUACGGAAAAGCAUGGAUUGACACAAAAAGGAAUCUUUGGUUGGGGAUCCUUUGGGCUUCAGGUAUUCCCAUUUCCUGGAGUCCUGUAUCUCAGGAAAGGUGGAGCUUCCCCUAUAUCUUCCCCCAUGGCUUGUUUCAGGGUGACUUCUUUGUCUCCCUCCCCCAGCUCCUCUCCCCAUGUCCAGAAGGGAGGGAAGACCAGAUCCCAGCUAAUGCUUCCAGAAGGACAGGACAGGAUGAUGUGGGGGAGAGAAAAGGGGAACAGAAAAUGAAGGACAGCUUUGUUCUGUAGGAUUAAUGAAGUGGCUUCCAGGACUAAUAGCCCAUUUACCAACAUCUCCUCCUCUGCCUCUCCCCUCCCAAGGUAACCUGUGGCCGCAGCCCCCAACCUCCCGGAGCUGUCUUUCAGCUAGCUCCACUCCAGCUUCUUAGGGAGCUGAGAGAGGGAGAGAAAGAGAAAGGUUGUUAAAGGUCUCUAGUGGUGGGAGCUCCCCCUUUCCUU